UUAAAUGGCCGCGAUAUUUUGAUCGUGCUAAGGUAGCAUAAUCAUUAGUUUUUUAAUUAAAAGCUGGAAUGAAGGGUUGGAUGAAAAAAUAACUUUUAAAUUUGAUUUUAUUAAAAUUUUAUUUUUAAGUUAAAAAGCUUAAAUAUUUUUAAAAGACGAGAAGACCCUUUAGAGUUUAAUAAAUAUUUUAAAAUAUUUUUUUAGAAUUAAUAUUUUAAUUUAAAAUAUUUAUUUAAUUGGGGUGAUUAAAAAAUUUAAUUAACUUUUUUUAUAUAUUUAUAUAAAUUUAUAAAUAUAUGAUCCAUUAUAAAUGAUUAUAAGAUAAAAUUACCUUAGGGAUAACAGCGUAAUUUUACUAGAAAGUU
rnacentral:rRNA from 1 species